rfam:Oryza barthii chromosome 12, whole genome shotgun sequence.
UUUAAAUACAGUUGUGGGUUUAUUGUAUCCAACGUGUGACCGUCCAUCUUAUUUAAUUUUUUUUAUGAUUAGUAUUUUUGUUGUUAUUAGGUGAUAAAACAUAAAUAGUACUUUAUGCGUGACUUAUUUUUCAAUUUUUUUCAUAUUUUUUUAAAUAAGAUAAACAGUAAACGUUAGGCACGGAUACCACAACUAUUAUUAAA